UUCCAGACUCCUACGGGAGGCAGCAGUGGGGAAUAUUGCACAAUGGGGGAAACCCUGAUGCAGCGACGCCGCGUGAGUGAAGAAGUAUCUCGGUAUGUAAAGCUCUAUCAGCAGGGAAGAAAAUGACGGUACCUGACUAAGAGGCCCCGGCUAACUACGUGCCAGCAGCCGCGGUAAUACGUAGGGGGCAAGCGUUAUCCGGAUUCACUGGGUGUAAAGGGAGCGUAGACGGCGACGCAAGUCUGGAGUGAAAGCCCGGGGCCCAACCCCGGGACUGCUCUGGAAACUGCGUCGCUGGAGUACGGGAGGGGCAGGCGGAAUUCCUGGUGUAGCGGUGAAAUGCGUAGAUAUCAGGAGGAACACCGGCGGCGAAGGCGGCCUGCUGGACCGUGACUGACGUUGAGGCUCGAGAGCGUGGGGAGCAAACAGGAUUAGAUACCCGGGUAUG
rnacentral:rRNA from 1 species